AGCUGUGGCUCACUGGUAGAGCAAAUGUUUGGCAUGCAUAAGGUCUCAGGUUCUAUCCCUGGUGGUUCUA
rnacentral:tRNA from 1 species